UACGAAGGGGGCUAGCGUUGCUCGGAAUCACUGGGCGUAAAGCGCACGUAGGCGGCUUUUUAAGUCAGGGGUGAAAUCCUGGAGCUCAACUCCAGAACUGCCUUUGAUACUGGGAAGCUUGAGUCCGGAAGAGGUGAGUGGAACUCCGAGUGUAGAGGUGAAAUUCGUAGAUAUUCGGAAGAACACCAGUGGCGAAGGCGGCUCACUGGACCGGUACUGACGCUCAUGCACGAAAGCGUGGGGAGCAAACAGG
rnacentral:rRNA from 1 species